UACAGAGGGGGCAAGCGUUAUUCGGAAUUAUUGGGCGUAAAGGGCGCGUAGGCGGCCAGGCAAGUGGAAGGUGAAAUCCCUCGGCUUAACCGAGGAACUGCCCUCCAAACUGCUUGGCUUGAGACCGGGAGAGGUGAGUGGAAUUCCCAGUGUAGCGGUGAAAUGCGUAGAUAUCGGGAAGAACACCAAUGGCGAAAGCACUCUGCUGGGCCGAAACUGACACUGAGAGACGAAAGCUAGGGGAGCGAAUGGG
rnacentral:rRNA from 1 species